rnacentral:rRNA from 1 species
CAAGAGUACGUGAAACCGUUCAGGGGUAAACCUGAGAAACCCAAAAGAUCGAAUGGGGAGAUUCAUCGUCAGCUCAUUUUGUAUAUAUAUAAGUUAUGAUAUGGGUUACUACUUGUAGUAUUGCUUGUACAUUCUUGUAUAUUUUAUUGCAAGAUGUUGUCGGCGUGCACUUCUCCCCUAGUAGGACGUCGCGACCCGUUGAGUGUCGGUUUACGGCCCAAGUGGUAGUCUUUAAUUCUUGUAAUUAAAAACCCUUGGUGUUUCCUGGCUGGCUACUCGGCGGUAUUCGUACGGUAUUAAGCCGCAUUUAUGCGUUCAUAUCCGUCACAAGCGCGGUCAAUAUUUCGGUAGUACGGACCUAGUGCCGUCGCUGUAAUUGAUCAGCUGUUGGUUGUACGGUAUUCUAGAACUGGCUUAAAAAAUAUAUAUAUACCGGUCUGCGAUGCUACUGCUUUGGGUACUUUCAGGACCCGUCUUGAAACACGGACCAAGUUG